rnacentral:rRNA from 1 species
AAUGAACGCUGGCGGCAGGCCUAACACAUGCAAGUCGAACGGAUCCUUCGGGAUUAGUGGCGGACGGGUGAGUAACGCGUGGGAACAUACCCAAAGGUACGGAAUAGCCUCGGGAAACUGGGGGUAAUACCGUAUGUGCUCGAAAGAGGAAAGAUUUAUCGCCUUUGGAUUGGCCCGCGUUGGAUUAGGUAGUUGGUGGGGUAAUGGCCUACCAAGCCGACGAUCCAUAGCUGGUUUGAGAGGAUGAUCAGCCACACUGGGACUGAGACACGGCCCAGACUACUACGGGAGGCAGCAGUGGGGAAUCUUAGACAAUGGGGGAAACCCUGAUCUAGCCAUGCCGCGUGAUCGAUGAAGGCCUUAGGGUUGUAAAGAUCUUUCAGGUGGGAAGAUAGUGACUGUACCACCAGAAGAAGCCCCGGCUAACUCCGUGCCAGCCGCCGCGGUAA